rnacentral:rRNA from 1 species
GACGAACGCUGGCGGCGUGCUUAACACAUGCCAGUCGAACGGAAAGGCCCUGCUUGUGUGUGGUGCUCGAGUGGCGAACGGGUGAGUAACACGGGAGUAACCUGGCCUGGACUGGGGGAUAACUGCAGGAAACUGGGGCUAAUACCGGAUAGGAGCGCCUGCUGCAUGGGGGGGGUUGGAAAGUUUCGGCGGUGGGGGAUGGACUCGCGGCUUAUCAGCUUGUUGGUGGGGGAGUGGCUUACCAAGGCUUUGACGGGUAGCCGGCCUGAGAGGGUGACCGGCCACAUUGGGACUGCGAUACGGCCCAGACUCCUACGGGAGGCAGCAGUGGGGAAUCUUGCCCAAUGGGCGGAAGCCUGAUGCAGAAACGCCGCGUGCGGGAUGACGGCCUUCGGGUUGUAAACCGCUUUCGCCUGUGACGAAGCGUGAGUGACGGUAAUGGCUAAAGAAGCACCGGCUAACUACGUG